UUCCGGUUGAUCCUGCCGGAGGUCACUGCUAUCAGUGUUCGACUAAGCCAUGCGAGUCAAAUGUUCUUCGUGAACAUGGCGUACUGCUCAGUAACACGUGGACAACCUGCCCUAAGGUCUGGCAUAACUCCGGGAAACUGGGGAUAAUUCCAGAUAAACCAUAGAUACUGGAAUGUGCUGUGGUUAAAAGCUCCGGUGCCUUAGGAUGGAUCUGCGGCCUAUCAGGUAGUAGUGGGUGUAAUGUACCUACUAGCCUACGACGGGUACGGGUUGUGAGAGCAAGAGCCCGGAGAUGGAUUCUGAGACAUGAAUCCAGGCCCUACGGGGCGCAGCAGGCGCGAAAACUUUACAAUGCGGGAAACCGCGAUAAGGGGACACUGAGUGCCAGCACCAUGUGCUGGCUGUCCGCAUGUAUAAAUCACAUGUGUCAGCAAGGGCCGGGCAAGACCGGUGCCAGCCGCCGCGGUAACACCGGCGGCCCGAGUGGUGGCCAUUAUUAUUGGGUCUAAAGGGUCCGUAGCCGGUUUGAUCAGUCUUCCGGGAAAUCUGACAGCUCAACUGUUAGGCUUCUGGGGGAUACUGUCAGACUUGGAACCGGGAGAGGUAAGAGGUACUACAGGGGUAGGAGUGAAAUCUUGUAAUCCUUGUGGGACCACCAGUGGCGAAGGCGUCUUACCAGAACGGGUUCGACGGUGAGGGACGAAAGCUGGGGGCACGAACCGGAUUAGAUACCCGGGUAGUCCCAGCCGUAAACGAUGCUCGCUAGGUGUCUGGGAUGGUGCGACCGUUUCAUGUGCCGCAGGGAAGCCGUGAAGCGAGCCACCUGGGAAGUACGGCCGCAAGGCUGAAACUUAAAGGAAUUGGCGGGGGAGCACUACAACGGGUGGAGCCUGCGGUUUAAUUGGAGUCAACGCCCGGGAAUC
rnacentral:rRNA from 1 species